ensembl:lncRNA
UCUAAGUACGUAUGUAUUGGACUGAGAAACCUAUGCUCUGACCAAUAUAUCAUUUCCCUUUCACUGGCAGUCCUGAAGGGUUGAGCAUCUCCCUCUAGUGGUCAGGAGGCAAAACACCUGAAUAGAAAACGACUCAUCUCACGCUGGGGAAGAUGUGACACAAGAUAAGACACGCACAACUAUCAAACAUGAAAAUGAUGGCUGCUUCUGUGGCAUUGACAGACAUCAACACACCCAGGUGGAGGCUUCAAUACGAGGGAUGCAUUUUAGCCAGAUCCUUAAAGGUUAUUAUUCCAAGCGUCUCUGUGGAAGACGGGGAGACCUCCUGAAUGAUUAAACAUUUGUUCGCUCAGCGGCUGCCAUCCCUAGUCGGUCUUGAGUUUCACGAGAAGACAACAGACACCGUUGGGGGUAGGGGGGAAGAGGCAGGCCACAGGUGAGACGUGUGUAUGUGUGACUAGUCAUGGAGGAGGAGGAGGAGGAAGAGGAGGAGCAGGGAGAAGGGUAGCUCCGGCGUGAGCGAUGGUCAGCCGCGAGUGGGUCUGCCAGUGUUUCUGCCUCUGCUACAACCGAUUCUGCCUCUUCACCAUGUCAUGUCCAGCUGUUCAGAGGCAGGUCCAGAACGGCCCGACCACAGACGAGCUUGAGGCGCAGAGAGCAAGACAGAUGAUGGAGCAGCAGCAGCAGAUGCAGGCGCACAUGGAGCGAGAGCGAAGGUCCUCCAACUCAGGUACCCCCACACUGAACACACACUGAGGUGUGUAUCGAAUCCCACACCGAACACACACUUAGGCGUGUAUCUACAUCCACACUAAACACUGAGGUGGGUAUGUGCCUCCAGACUGAACACACUUAGGUGUGUAUCUACCUCGAAACUGAACACACACUGAGGUGUGUACCCACAACCACACUAAACACUGAGGUGUGUGUCUACACCCAGACUGAACCCUGGAGCUGGGUGCACACCUCCUCAACCCCUCUAUCUGCUAGAGGAGGCUCCGUGUGGAGCAUAAUAAUGUGCACACUGUUACUUUCCUUUUGAUGGUCUAAGCCUCCUUUAACCCUUAGAUACUCUCUCUACCGCUCUCUUUCUUCACCCCUUUAGACUCUCAAGGGGUAAAGCAGCUAACAUAACAAUCAACAUAACUCUUCGAAACAUUGAGGAGACGCACCUGAUGAGUAGAUUUAUUAAGGGGAGACUGUUAGUCUUUUUUAGCGUCACUGCAGCUUGACUAUGACACCACUUCCCCUUGUAACCAUAGCGACAGACCACUUGCGCUCAGCAGAGUUACACUGAAUAUUUGUGCUGACAUCCUCAACACUUAUUUCCCUGUCGACCUCUCUUCCUCUUUCUUUUUUCCUCUUUCU